UAACGCGUGGAUAACCUGCCUCACACAGGGGGAUAACAGUUAGAAAUGACUGCUAAUACCGCAUAAGCGCACGGUACCGCAUGGUACAGUGUGAAAAACUCCGGUGGUGUGAGAUGGAUCCGCGUCUGAUUAGGUAGUUGGUGAGGUAACGGCCCACCAAGCCGACGAUCAGUAGCCGACCUGAGAGGGUGUCCGGCCACAUUGGGACUGAGACACGGCCCAAACUCCUACGGGAGGCAGCAGUGGGGAAUAUUGCACAAUGGGCGAAAGCCUGAUGCAGCAACGCCGCGUGAGUGAAGAAGUAUCUCGGUAUGUAAAGCUCUAUCAGCAGGGAAGAAAAUGACGGUACCUGACUAAGAAGCCCCGGCUAACUACGUGCCAGCAGCCGCGGUAAUACGUAGGGGGCAAGCGUUAUCCGGAUUUACUGGGUGUAAAGGGAGCGCAGACGGCACUGCAAGUCUGAAGUGAAAGCCCGGGGCUCAACCCCGGGACUGCUUUGGAAACUGUAGAGCUAGAGUGCUGGAGAGGCAAGCGGAAUUCCUAGUGUAGCGGUGAAAUGCGUAGAUAUUAGGAAGAACACCAGUGGCGAAGGCGGCUUGCUGGACAGUAACUGACGUUCAGGCUCGAAAGCGUGGGGAGCAAACAGGAUUAGAUACCCUGGUAGNCCACGCCGUAAACGAUGAAUACUAGGUGU
rnacentral:rRNA from 1 species